UCCAGCAGCCGUAUCACCCUGCAGCUCCCAGCUGGCAGCCCCCUGAAGCUCAGCAGGUGUGAGCCUGGCCAGUACCUGAAUGGGAGACUCCUGGGAAAGCUGAGACCGCUGCUGGAA
rnacentral:rRNA from 1 species